UACGUAGGAGGCAAGCGUUAUCCGGAAUUAUUGGGCGUAAAGCGUCCGCAGGUGGCACUUCAAGUCUGUCGCCAAAGACUGGGGCUUAACCCUGGAAAGGCGGUGGAAACUGAAGCGCUAGAGUGCGGUAGGGGUAGAGGGAAUUCCCGGUGUAGCGGUGAAAUGCGUAGAGAUCGGGAAGAACAUCGGUGGCGAAAGCGCUCUACUGGACCGCAACUGACACUCAGGGACGAAAGCUAGGGGAGCGAAUGGG
rnacentral:rRNA from 1 species